ACCAUGUGAUGGUCCACCUGAUUCCUUCAUACAGACAGAGGCUGAAGCUCUGUAAACCUGUGGUGAAGGAAUCUAAACAAUGGACCAGUGAAGCAGUGGAGAAACUCCAGGAGUGUUUGGACUGGACUGACUGGGAUGUUUUCAGGUCUGCGAACAGUUCUCUGGAUGAGUUUACAGACGCUGUGACGUCCUACAUCAGCUUCUGUGAGGACAGCUGUAUUCCAUCAAAGACCAGGGUGAGUUAUAACAAUGACAAACCCUGGUUCACAGCUAAGCUCAGAGGGCUGAGGGCAGACAAAGAGGUCGCUUUCAGGAGUGGAGACAGAGCCAGGUACAGAGAGUCGAAGUACACGUUUGAAAAGGAGGUGAGAAAAGCCAAACGUUUGUACUCAGAGAAGCUACAACAUCAGUUCUCUGCAAAUGACUCGGCUUCUGUCUGGAGAGGGCUCAGGCAAAUUACAAACUACAAGCCCAGAGCCCCUGCUGCUGCUAACGACCUCUGCCUGGCCAACAGUCUGAAUGAGUUCUAUUGUAGAUUUGACAGACAAUGGGACAGACCUGACUCCAACCCCCCUCACACCUCUGACCAGCCUCACUCCAACACCUUCACCCCCCACAUCAAAGCUACAGUUUCACCCCAGCUGCCUACAGAGGCUCUCUCCCCUAUCUUCCCCCCCUCCUCCCCCCCUCCUACAGAGACACCUUUCUCCAUCAAAGAGAGAGAUGUGAAUAGACUUUUCAGGAGACAAAACCCCCGUAAGGCUUGUGGACCGGACUCUGUCUCUCCCUCUACCUUGAAGCACUGUGCUGAUCAGCUGUCUCCAGUGUUCACAGACAUUUUUAACACCUCACUGGAGACAUGCACCGUACCAGCCUGUUUUAAGGCCUCCACCAUCGUUCCUGUCCCUAAAAAGCUGAGGAUCACAGGACUUAAUGACUACAGACCCAUCGCUCUGACAUCUGUGGUCAUGAAGUCCUUUGAACGCCUCAUGCUCUCCCACAUCAAGGACAUCACCGACCCCCACCUGGACCCCCUGCAGUUUGCCUAUAGAUCCAACAGGUCAGUAGACGAUGCUGUAAACCUGGCUCUCCACUUCAUCCUCCAGCACCUGGACUCCCCAG
rnacentral:lncRNA from 1 species